UAUGAAAAAAAGCACAUAAUAAUUAACAGAAGGCACAAACUUUUUCUAAAUUAAAUGCACCCUUUUCAGCUUUAAACCAGCUCUUUUGCUAAUAGUUUGGUUUAUCCUUUGAGAGAAAUGUAUGACCUCUAAAUUCUUGCAAGUUUUGUUGUGGGUCAGGCAGGUCUAUACUAUUCCAUCACCAUGUUUUUGGUGGCCUACUUUAUCAUCACAAUGACUGUUCUGUCCAUUUGUGCCAUAUCCACUAAUGGGGCUUUAGAGCCUGGUGGUGCCUACUGUAUCCUUUUUAAAGCUGACACAGUUGACUGCUGUAGCUUAUAAACCUCACUUGGGUGUUAGUGAUUAGGCUUUGUUAAGAGAUGAUAAAGUAUCCUUGCUUUCUAGGGUUUUUCAUCAUGUUUUUUCUUGCUAAUGUCUGGGGCUGUGCUCUGUUUGUUUUGGGCUUGAUGGAGGCCAUCAUGUCUACCUUUGGAGUACCAGAAGGUAAAGUUAAUUUAACAUUUUGAGACAUUCUUGAUGUGUUGCAUGUACUUAAAGCCUUCUUUCACUGUUUGUUAGAUAACACUGCAGCUUUUACAGGUUCUCAUCAAACGUUGCCAUUGGGAUAAAGGUGGUGCCUGCUACAGGGUACUAUCCUCCUCUUUCUGGGCUUUGUAGUCUGUUUGGUAAGAUUUUUUUUUUUUUUUUUUACAUGAACCAUUGAGAUAUGUGAGGUUUGUACUUUAUUUGUAUGCUGCUUAUGAACAAUACGUUUAUUAAAGAGGUAAUGAUGGUGAUAAGAAAAAUAAAUUGCAGCUAAAUCAAUACGUUGAUUUAGCAGCAAUCAACAUAUUGCAGUUAAAUCAACGUCACCACACCACACAGCUCCAGUGUGCUGUGGUGAUUUCUCUGCUGGACUAAUCCCAGUUCAACUGGUAUCUUUUUUUUUUUCAUUUCAAAAUUGCAGGAAACAAGCAGCAGAAAGCUCUUAUUUUUGUGCUUGUUUAACAUCAACCAUAGUGCAUUGCGUAGUAAAACCUCUGCAUCUCUGCUUAAAAAAUUAGACGCCAUAAAAUCAGGAACUGACUUGUGAUAAUUUCAUUAAAAUGUAGUGGAAACAAAUCUACCACAAAGGGAAAACAAAUAUAGAUGUUACAUUUCAGAGGCUAUCCUACAUUUGUUAGAAAAGCAGAGGACACGCGUAACAUGGAAAAGCUGUAUAAAGGUCCCUGAAAGGUAGUUUUCACAUCUUUUAAGCAAAUUCCAAUGCAGUGAAACAGCACUCCUGUAAAGGAAGUUUUGCAGUUUACCAUUUAUGAUAAUUAUAUAGGUCAAGAUCUAUGCAGUGAAUGCCAAUGUUGCUUAAUUACACAGGCUUGUUUUUACAGGUUGGAGCCCACAUUUAUGCCAAAGCUACCUUUAUUAUUUUUAUCAUCAUCCUUACCGUUCUGGUUUCAAUCUUCAUUAGUUUUUUCACUGUUGGCCCCCCGGUGUUGAUUCUACCAGAAACCUCUUUAGCCAACAACACAAGCAGAAAGGACUGCUAACUAUACCGGCCUCUGGCUCUGCACAUUGAAGGGAAACCUAUUCUCUAAUUACACGGUUGACUACACCACUGGUGGCAUGAUGAGUUUUGCCUGAGUAUUUGCAGUCUUGUUCAGCGGCUGCACUGGAAUCAUGGCAGGCUCCGGCAUGUCAGAUGGUGUCUUGGUGCUGGGGAGGAGAAGUGGAAACCCCUGGGUUUCUGAACGUAUCUGCUGGUUUCUUGUACAGUUCCAUUCAGGCUUUUGCCAGCAUAGCAUUUUUGCUGCUCCUCUGGAUGCUCAUACACUGCCUGCCUGGGGCCCAUCAGCAACUGGGGCUACAUCAGUCAAGCUCUCAUCUUCCAUCAGGUUACUUGUUGCUUCUGGAUGUGCGGAAGGACCAUGUGAAGUUCUGGAGGUGUUGUUGAUGGUUGCAAACCCUCGCACCUGUACGAGUCGUGUGACUUUCAUCAACGACCUGAAGAAAAGCGGCCUGUAUGUCCUGGGACAUGUGAAGCUUGGGCUGCUUGAUGGUUUACCAACUGAUCCCCUGCAGAGCUGUUAUAAUUCCUGGCUGUCUUUGGUGGAUCAUUUAAAAAUCAAGGCGUUUGUGAACCUAACUCUGGCUGACUCGGUUCGGCAUGGAGUUCAAAAUCUGCUGUUCAUCUCGGGCUUUGGUAGGACCAAGUCACUCUAUUUUUAAACUCUUUGACAUUUCUCGCGUAUCAUGAUAACACAUCUGCUGGCUUUAGGUGGGAUGAGACCAAACACUCUUGUGCUGGGUUUUUAUGAUGAUUGCACACCUGAAGAUGGCCUCACCAGUCAAAUUCUCCCAUCAUUAAGCUUUGGCUCGGAUUCAGUGUGUGCAGCUACAGCCUCUGAGCCGCAGAGCUCCUUCUUCUUCUCAAGGAACUUAGGAUAUCAGCUUAACUUUACUGAAGUGCUAGGCUAAUGCUGACAUAUUUACUAUUUGAUAUGGCUAAUUAAUUUGGUUUGUAAGAUGUUUAAGUUCCUGACAAUUUUGUACAAACAAAAGGUACAAGGUGUAAUUGUUCUCAAACAUGGUUUUAAAAGUUCUAAAAUUUAACACGUAGCUCUUCUGCCUAGCUGAUGUAUGUUUUCAGUCGUCUUUAUAUAUGAAAGUUAGAAUUUUUGUGUUUGGAGAUAACCUAACCUACAGGUUUGGAGAUAACCUGUAUUUCCAAUACAGUGGAAAUUGUACAGAUGGGGAAAAUCGAAGUAACCUAUUUAUUAUUGCUUUCAUUAUCAAUGUCAUCUUAAAAGUGAAUAAUUUAGUAAAAACUGAUUUAUUUGAUCAACAAAAUAAUGUACUCGGGCUGCGCCAGUCUUGCAAGUCGUGCAUAGAAAAAUAGUUUGUUUUUGUUAGUUUUUUUUUUUAACCUAGCCAUGCAAAAAUAUGACAUGAUGGUUAACUACUGGUGCAAGAGACAGUUGAGACUUUUUGGGCUUUGUAUUAUAACAUGUUAUUCUCUCAUCAAAAACACUCAUGGAGUAUUACUUUGAUUCUUUCAUGCUCCCACGGCAGCCUUUCAGGGGGGCCUAAAUGCCCCCCUGAAAGGCUUCGGAGCUGCGGUCUCCAGAAUGGCUUCUCCCUCACAAAGUUCCUCCAGACUAGCGGCAGCAGCAAUGGGAAAAUACCUAGUGGAACUGUGCUUCUGCAGAGCUUAUCAGGAGCAUUAUUGAGGAGACAUGCUGAUGGACUGUUGAAAAGAGGAGCUUUUUAAAGAGACAGAGGCCCACUUUCAAGGCAUUUGAAGUCAAAUUUCUUCUAAGUCAUACUUAAUAGAUACAGCAUUUUGAUAACUUUUGAGCUAUGGAAUGAUGCAUAAUACUGUUCCACUUAAAUAUACAAAUUUCUGAAAAUGUCAAAGGAUCCAAGUAAAUUGCAUCAUAGCUUUCCUGCAAUGCCCUCGCCUGUUCUAAAUGAGCACAGGCCAACGUGGUAUGAUACUUGACCUACUCUUUUGCCUAAAAUGAACAGUUUAGCUCCAAAUGAUGUGCUUCUAUCUAUUCACAGUGAAUAGAAAGACUUUACGUCAUGUACUGAUUACUUCACUCAAGACAUUUCUUGUGUGUGUGUGAAGGUUCACCUCACUCAACAAACAUCAGCAAAUAGGUGAUUAAGGCAUUUUGCCAACUGAUUAAGCAGAGUCAUUGGCGGCAAAUGCCACGUGUGCUUUGACGAAAUUUCCAUGAGUUCAUUCUGGCUGAGUACUGACACCCACCUACACGUCUCUGACAAACAGCCUGUGAGAGAGAGUGUAUCCCCAGAUGGCGACAGGGUUGGCUCCAUCUAAGACAAAUGGGCAUCAAGAUGCUAUGAACUGCUUCGUGUUUUCUUGGUAUGUCUCUGUGGCUUGAGAUGAACUUUAUUUGGAAAUAACAAAUUGGCAGCUGUUCCCUCAAAGCCUCCGGUUGCUCAGUUUGGAUGGAUGGAUGUCAGCUCUCUCCACCUACUAAACCAACAAGUAGAGAGGGGGAAGAACUGACUCACUUCCGGAUGCUGAUGAGAUUCACUGAUAAUGGAAAAGCACUUUAAUCCUUGUACAUUUUAUUGUGACCUUUUACUAAGCUGGUGCCGUGUUUUUCCUGUACAUGUAUUUUAUUUGAGUAGUUCCCGUUUUCAAAGGUGGAACGUCACCUCACCACUUAAACUCCAAGAAUUUUAAAUCAUCAUUUAACCUAAUGUUUUAUUUGUCAGAGUAACCUGUGAAGAUGUGUGUGCAAACAAGAAGCAUGUUUUUAAAGCACUCCCACUUUAGCUUUAUGUGCACUAUUCUCUACAAAUCAUUUAAAAUUAACUUAGAGAAGGCCUCAAGAGUUUGACCUUCUUUCAAGUGAAGUGUUUAAGUACUUAAUUAUUUUUGAAGCUGCAAUAUACAGUAAAAAUCCUUUAUUUAUAACACAAAAUAACAAUCAGUUCCCCUUAAUAUAAAUAUUUGUAACGAAGCAAUGUCUUUAAAGUUCAGACCAGAUUAGAGCAAAAACCCACACAUGCAAAGAAAUCAAGGCAAAUUAGUCCCCAAAUGAAAUUAUCAAUAAAAGAAAAAGGACAUUCAUUGAACCCACUUACAAAAUUGUAUUAAAUGCUUCCAUGGAAAGAGCUUUUUUUUCCAACUUUUCUCCUUUACGGAGAAACUAGUGCAUUCAUUACUCAUGUGUGAGUUCGACCCACUGUGUCUUCUACACAAACGCUUCAAAUCUUAAAGGUUUGUGUUUGGGACUCUUCUAUGCACUCUGAUCUUCGGUUCUUUCCAUUUUUAGUUGGAUCAAAGUCAGGUGAUUAGAUCAUUCUGGCACAGUUUUACUGUCUUAUCUGAAUCAAAAUAACAGUCCCCUUGUUUGUGUUUGGAACUAUUGUCUCAGUUUUAUGGGUUUUUUACGGCUUGUCCAAAUCUUCUGCUUCUACCUUUAAAACAAGUGUUAGAAUGAUUUUUUUCCAACAGUUUUGCAUCUGCAUCAACAGUUCGCAAAGAGGCAAUUGUGUUGAGUGCAUUACCUGUAAUUUUCAAUGGAUAAAAUUGUACCUGCUCAUUUCAAGACUCUCAAAAACACUUUGAGAGUCUGGUUUUUGUACAACUCUUGUUUGAAAUUUUCAUUUCUCUGCACCAGAAAUGUUACGAGGGGCACCUGACCUGGUUACGGCUGGUUUACUGUGAUGUUCUUCUGGAUUAUGGCUUUAACAGCGCUCACAAUGGUGCAUUCAUAAGUUUAGAAAUGCAGCUGUAAUCACUGUAUAUUUUGAAACAUUAAGAUUUUUGGGAAUUUGUUUUUGCUUUGCCAACCAUAAAACCUCAAUACUUUCUAAUAACAAACCUAAACUAGCAGAUUCCUUUACAAAUAGCAAGAAAAGCUUAAAACGGCAGUUUCUGAGGUUUCUUCGUCUUUUUACAGAUUCAUUUCUUGACAUUUAAUGAGUUUUUUCUGUUAUACACUUCUUUUUUAACCAUUAAUUUAAUCUGAAGACUGAUUUGCUUUAAUUACUUUUGAUGUGUGGGAUAUCUGGGUUGUUGCUGACAUUUGGUGUGAAUUUUAUGUGAAUGACCUCAUUUAAACUAAUAAAAAGCUGACAUGUUCAAUGUCUAUUUUACUAGCUAUAAUUUAAAUGAAAAUAAAUCUGUGGGGAAAAACUAAGCACACACCCACAAUAUUUUUGUAUUCUCUUGCAUCAUAUAUUAAGAUUUGGCAUGUAAGGUGGGUAUUUCUAUUGCUUUCAUGUCAACAUGUGAGAGGCUCUUAAAGAGGGUGUGGAUGCUGAAGAGUCUGGGGAAAAGACAGUCUUCUCUUUCUUCAAAACAAGAACAUACUGGAUGUAGUUUCUCUUUGGCACAUAGAUUCUGGCUGGAUCUGAAAUGCUUCUUCUGAUCAGCAGUCGGUUCCAUCCGUGGCCUGCGUCACGUUUGCACCACAAUUUACGUGUAUUGUCACCAGCCCACGCAUUGCUGAAAAAUUGCCUGUAGGAGGCAGAGCGUUAACAGACUGAGGCAAGCCCUAUUAGGGAAUGCAACAUCCACCCUCAAAAUAUCUUAAUCAGUUGUUCAACUACAGCACGGAACAAGAGAGGUGCCGGCAUAGCUUCACACAUCCAAAAAAUGUUGCAAUCACAAAGACUUUCCCAUUAUCUCGGCAGUUGUAAGGUGUCAAGAGAUUCCUUCACUGACUGUGGGAGGCUUUGGACAUCCUGUCUUCAGCUAAAUGUUCAUGUCAAGAAGGACAGAGGACUAGCUGAAGCCAAGAGCAGGACAACUCAGAAAAAUAGUUAAAAUAGGUUUAAAUUUGUCUGCAUGCUAACAAGCCUAACUUCUACUCUCAUUUUUAGCCAUGACUGGACAUGAAAAAUACCAAAUUUGGUGACGUCUUUUAGUUCAUCUUUAUUUUUAGUCUUUCUUAUACAAAGUGAAGGAAACAAAAGUUCUUUAUCAAAACAGGACACAAAAAAAAAAAUUAAGGAGCUCAACAUGAAAUGUAAAACAGGAUGUGUAUGUAGUUAACAGAGCUGAUGUUGGUUUGAAGAAAGGAAACAAUUCUGAGAAAAGCACCUUAAGCAUUUCUUUGCACAGCACCAAAAAUGUCUAAUUGGGCAGACAGUAUUUUCAAGAAGAAAAAUAAUUAUGUUCCAAAUGAGAAGCCAGGAACAAAGACAAAUUUAACAAAGGAGGCCCAGGAAACCUCAUGUUUCUGCAAAGAUACCUUAAAAAGUGGGACGGUACUGUGAAGAUAACUGAAAGGGAUACAGAGAUGCAUGGAUGGAGAAUGUGUUAAAAGACCAGAUGUUGACAA